rnacentral:rRNA from 1 species
CCUACGGGAGACUGCAGUGAGGAAUAUUGGUCAAUGGACGAGAGUCUGAACCAGCCAAGUAGCGUGAAGGAUGACUGCCCUAUGGGUUGUAAACUUCUUUUAUAUGGGAAUAAAAUGUUCCACGUGUGGGAUUUUGUAUGUAUCAUAUGAAUAAGGAUCGGCUAACUCCGUGCCAGCAGCCGCGGUAAUACGGAGGAUCCGAGCGUUAUCCGGAUUUAUUGGGUUUAAAGGGAGCGUAGGUGGAUUGUUAAGUCAGUUGUGAAAGUUUGCGGCUCAACCGUAAAAUUGCAGUUGAAACUGGCAGUCUUGAGUACAGUAGAGGUGGGCGGAAUUCGUGGUGUAGCGGUGAAAUGCUUAGAUAUCACGAAGAACUCCGAUUGCGAAGGCAGUUCACUGGACUGCAACUGACACUGAGGCUCGAAAGUGUGGGUAUCAAACAGGAUUAGAUACCCCAGUAGUC